rnacentral:rRNA from 1 species
UCAGGAUGAACGCUAGCGGCAGGCUUAACACAUGCAAGUCGAGGGGCAACGCGAGUAGCAAUACUUGGCGGCGACCGGCGCAAGGGUGCGUAACGCGUGAGCAACAUGCCCGUAUCAGGGGGAUAAUCCAGGGAAACUUGGUCUAAUACCCCAUAGUAAUUUUGUAAGGCAUCUUAUAAGAUUUAAAGCUUUGGUGGAUACGGAUUGGCUCGCGUGACAUUAGCUGGAUGGUAAGGUAACGGCUUACCAUGGCUAUGAUGUCUAGGGGUUCUGAGAGGAAGGUCCCCCACACUGGAACUGAGACACGGUCCAGACUCCUACGGGAGGCAGCAGUGAGGAAUAUUGGACAAUGGAUGGAAAUCUGAUCCAGCCAUGCCGCCGUGAAGGAAGAAGGUCCUAUGGAUUGUAAACUUCUUUUGUAUGGGAGCAAUAAGGCCUACGAGUAGGUUGAUGAGAGUACCAUACGAAUAAGCACCGGCUAACUCCGUGCCAGCCGCGGC